GACGAACGCUGGCGGCGUGCUUAACACAUGCAAGUCGAACGGAAAGGCCCUGCUUUUGUGGGGUGCUCGAGUGGCGAACGGGUGAGUAACACGUGAGUAACCUGCCCUUGACUUUGGGAUAACUUCAGGAAACUGGGUCUAAUACCCGAUAUGAGCUCCUGCUGCAUGGUGGGGGUUGGAAAGUUUCGGCGGUUGGGGAUGGACUCGCGGCUUAUCAGCUUGUUGGUGGGGUAGUUGCUUACCAAGGCUUUGACGGGUAGCCGGCCUGAGAGGGUUACCGGCCACAUUGGGACUGAGAUACGGCCCAGACUGCUACGGGAGGCAGCAGUGGGGAAUAUUGCACAAUGGGCGGAAGCCUGAUGCAGCAACGCCGCGUGCGGGAUGACGGCCUUCGGGUUGUAAACCGAUUUCGCCUGUGACGAAGCGUGAGUGACGGUAAUGGGUAAAGAAGCACCGGCUAACUACGUG
rnacentral:rRNA from 1 species